GGUGAUCCUGCCAGUGUCAUAUGC
rnacentral:rRNA from 1 species